AGUGAACGCUGGCGGUAGGCCUAACACAUGCAAGUCGAACGGCAGCACAGUAAGAGCUUGCUCUUACGGGUGGCGAGUGGCGGACGGGUGAGGAAUACAUCGGAAUCUACUUUUUCGUGGGGGAUAACGUAGGGAAACUUACGCUAAUACCGCAUACGACCUACGGGUGAAAGCAGGGGAUCUUCGGGCCUUGCGCGAUUGAAUGAGCCGAUGUCGGAUUAGCUAGUUGGCGGGGUAAAGGCCCACCAAGGCGACGAUCCGUAGCUGGUCUGAGUGGAUGAUCAGCCACACUGGAACUGAGACACGGUCCAGACUCCUACGGGAGGCAGCAGUGGGGAAUAUUGGACAAUGGGCGCAAGCCUGAUCCAGCCAUACCGCGUGGGUGAAGAAGGCCUUCGGGUUGUAAAGCCCUUUUGUUGGGAAAGAAAAGCAGCAGGUUAAUACCCCGCUGUUCUGACGGUACCCAAAGAAUAAGCACCGGCUAACUUCGUG
rnacentral:rRNA from 1 species